AAGUCGUAACAAGGUUUCCGUAGGUGAACCUGCGGAAGGAUCAUUAUUAAAAUCAAAACGGGAUUGCCCAGGAUUAAAGGUGUAAGUGAAAGCGAGCAUCAUUAGUUUGAGGGCAGAGUUGGGGAUAUAGCUAGUAAUAGUAAAGUCCUUGAUUCAUCUCACAUACACGAUACUUAUUGACGAAAAAGAUUGACAAAAUAAUCAAAACAACUUUUAACAAUGGAUCUCUUGGCUCUU
rnacentral:misc_RNA from 1 species